AGUUUUCCUUCAUCUCCCCCCCCCCCUCUCGCGAGCCAAACAGGUCAUCUUCCAAUUCAGUAAUCCACACGCUGCAAAAUCUAGGCAAUCAAUCCCAAACACCUCCAGAUUCGAUCAAUUAACUUUAGAUGCAGUGAGAUCACAAACAUCGGGAAUUAUUUCUCAACGCAAAAUGGCCAAAGAAACGCAAUUCGUGGCUCGUCUGGCCGCUAACCACCUCUACCUUGCUCAAUUUGAACCCCUACGAGCUAUUCUUUUUGCCCUUGGAACUCGGAAUCGUGACCUAGCUCGCUCUUUUUUACAGACCAUCGUUGCUCACUCUGGCCGAUUCCAGAAUAUUUUAUGGUCACCCUCUUGUUCUUCUCCUGCUCUUCUCACCCACUUAGCGACGAUUGAAUUGUUACAAUUCGAUAAUGCUUCUUCCGGAUGGAACUUCGACUCAGAAACACUGCGAUUACGCUCGGAGUUCUUGUUGUUAGUUCAAAAUUUGAUCGACCUGUUGUCAGAAAGGACGAAGAAGAACGUAAGCAUAGAGAAAGAAAAAGAUAUUUUAAAGGACAGGGGAAGUUUAGAGGACCAACGUACUAAGUUGGAUGAAGGAGAAGAAUUAAGAGAUGGAAGUGGUGACUCAAGCAGCUGUAUGAGAGUUUUGGAUAGGAUUUUGGAGUUGGGAAUGAAUAGGCUGAAGCCAGAAGUAGAUGUCGAAAUGGACAGGCCUGGGACUUCGGUUUCUGCCAGUGUUGCUCCUGUUGAAGAAGGAGAGUUGAUGUGUCUGAGGAGGGUGAUUUUGGAUCAUGCAGAUAUUUUUGAUGCACUUUGUGGGAAUAUACAUAAGCAAAUUUGUCAUCCGGAAUGCUACGAUCCUGGCUUAGCAACAACUGUUGGGGGAAGUGAUGAUGGCCUGGUGGAGCUGUCGAAAGAAGAGGGUGUUAGAAUACUCGGUUUAAUACUAAGGACUGUUCAGGUGGUUCAUCUGGAUGCCAUGAAGCAGGGUCUAAAAGCGGGUGAUACGGAAGAAGCAGUUUCGCAUAUUAGAUUUCUUCAUUUUGAUCAUGGAAUCGUGGAAUCUGAGUACCGCAUAGUUUUGAAAGAUCUCAUGAAGAGUGUUUUAUCAAGAAGUGAGAAGUUUGAUGAUUCUUGGAAUGCCAUGCGUGACCUAUUGCUUGUGAUUUAUGGAGAAGCCCUUUCAUCGGAUUGCAGGGAUAUUAUUCAAAUGAUACAGACCAUUCAUAAUGAGCUGCUGUCUGAAGAGAUUGAAGUUUAUAGAGCUCAAACUGACAACUCCGUCCCACCUCCUCUUGUACGGUUUCUGAGAUAUUGUACAGAGUUGAGGCUUCAUCAGGUUGUAGAUGAUAAGACAAUUUUCCUGAACAAGGUUGUCAGUUCUUGUAAGGCAGAGAUGUACCAUUACGCUCGUGUUUCUGGACUACAUGUACUUGAGUGUGUCAUGGAUACUGCCCUGUCUGCUGUGAAGAGGGAGCAACUUGAAGAAGCAAGCAAUGCUCUCCAGUUGUUUCCCCAACUUCAGCCAUUGGUAGCUGCCAUGGGUUGGGAUUUGCUGGCCGGUAAAAUAGCAGCACGGAGGAAAUUAAUGCAACUUCUCUGGAAAAGCAAGUCACAAGUAAUUCGGCUGGAGGAAUCUUCUCUUUAUGGUUAUAAAUCAGAUGAGAUGUCCUGUGUGGAGCAACUUUGUGACACUUUAUGUUAUCGGCUUGAUCUUGCCUCUUUUGUUGCCUUUGCUAAUUCUGGUCGGUCUUGGAAUUCAAAAUUCUCGUUAACACUGUCUGGAAAAGGACAAGUGGCGUUGGGAGAUGAAGAUGCUUAUUCUGACCCUUUUGUCGAGAACUUUGUGUUGGAAAGACUUUCUGUCCAAAGUCCCCUACGGGUGCUAUUUGAUGUUGUCCCAGGAAUAGAAUUCCAGGAAGCUAUUGAAUUGAUCACUAUGGAGCCAAUUUCUUCCACUUUGGCUUCUUGGAAGAGGAUGCAAGAUGUGGAACUCAUGCACAUGCGUUAUGCUCUAGAGUCAACUGUUCUUGCUUUAGGAGCAAUGGAAAGGAGCAUUUCUGAUGAAGCUCAUCAACUAGCGGCGUUAUGUCAUUUGAAAGAUCUCCGUAACCAUUUGGAUUCCAUCAGUAAUCUACCUCGCAAGAUCUUUAUGGUGAAUGUCAUAAUUUCACUCUUGCACAUGGAUAAUCUCUCCCUUAAUUCAAUGCAUUGUCCAUCCCCAGGAAGUGAUUCUAAAAUGUCCGAUACAUUCUCUUGUGACCAUGGUGAUCCGAUUAAAUGUGAAGGGGGAAAUAAAAUGGUUAUAUCUUUCACUGGUAUGCUACUUGAUAUAUUGCGCCAUAAUAUAUCCUCUGUGAUUGAGUUAGAGAGCACAUUAGAUGACAGUCCAAGCACAGCUAGCAUACAAGCUCUGGAUUGGAGAAUUUCAAUUGCGAAGCGUUUCAUUGAAGAGUGGGAAUGGCGUUUGUCAAUAUUGCAGCAUCUUCUACCAUUUUCAGAGCGGCAGUGGAGAUGGAAGGAGGCAUUGACAGUGUUACGUGCUGCCCCUUCCAAGCUACUUAACCUUUGCAUGCAAAAAGCAAAGUUUGAUAUUGGAGAAGAAGCAGUCCAUAGAUUUUCAUUAUCUGCUGAAGAUAAGGCUACCCUCGAGUUAGCUGAAUGGGUAGAUAGUGCCUGCAGAAAAGCAUCUGUAGAUGAUGUGGUGUCCCAUGUACAGGAUCUAGAUUUUUCCUUGUUGCGCUCUCAAUUAGGUCCUGUGGCUGUAAUUCUUCUCUGUAUUGACGUUGCUGCAACUUCUGCUAGGUCUGCAAAGAUGUCGCAACAACUUCUGAAUCAGGCUCAAAUUAUAUUGUCUGAGAUCUAUCCUGGAGGAUCUCCCAAAGUAGGUUCAACUUAUUGGGAUCAGAUCCUUGAAAUGGGUGUAAUCUCUGUUUCACGGCGUCUUCUGAAGCAGCUGCAUGAGGUCUUGGAGCAGGACAACCCUCCAGCACUUCAGGCUAUCCUGUCUCGGGAAAUUUUCAUCCCUUCAUCAAAGGAAAUGCAACGACAAGAACAGAGGGAGCGUGCCCUUGCUCUUCUACAUCAGAUGAUUGAAGAUGCUCAUAGGGGCAAGCGACAGUUUCUGAGUGGUAAGCUUCAUAACCUUGCUAGAGCUGUUGCUGAUGAAGAGACUGAAUCAAGUGCUACUAGAGGUGAAGGGUUAUAUGCUGAACGGAGUGUUAUUUCAAACGGUGAGAAGGACAUUGUUCUUGGUCUUGGAUUAAGAGUUGUCAGGCAAUUAUCUUCAAGUUCAAGUGCAGGAGACACUGGCAUGCAGUCUGUUGGUUAUGAUAUGAAAGAUCCUGAGAAGAGAAUAUUCCGUCCCUUGAGUGCCAAACCUGUUACAUAUUUGUCACAGUUCAUUCUUCAUGUUGCUGCAAUUGGUGACAUAGUUGAUGGAACUGAUACUACUCAUGAUUUUAAUUUUUUCUCUGUGGUGUACGAGUGGCCAAAGGAUCUUUUGACUCGUCUGGUCUUUGAAAGAGGCAGUACUGAUGCAGCUGUAAAAGUAGCUGAUAUUAUGGGUGCUGAUUUUGUGCAUGAGGUAAUUUCUGCAUGUGUGCCUCCAGUCUAUCCUCCUCGGUCUGGCCAUGGGUGGGCAUGCAUUCCAGUUGUUCCUGCCUUUUCUAAGAGUGGCUCUGACUAUAAAGUCCUGUCUCCCAGCUCAAAAGAUGCAAAGCCAAAUUGCUAUUCUCGUUCUUCAGCAACUCCUGGUGUUCCUUUAUAUCCUCUGCAGUUAGAUGUUGUGAAACAUUUGGCAAAAAUAUCACCUGUGAGGGCUGUCUUGGCUUGCGCGUUUGGAAGUAGUAUACUGUACAAUGGCAGUGAUUCUUCAAUUUCAAGUUCUUUAAAUGAUGGAUUACUGCACGCUCCUGAUGCUGAUAGACUGUUUUAUGAGUUUGCUCUUGAUCAAUCUGAGAGGUUCCCAACACUAAACAGGUGGAUACAAAUGCAAACUAACCUCCAUCGAGUUUCAGAAUUUGCUGUAACUUCUAAUCAAACUGCUGAUAAAGAACUUGAAGCAAGAACUUCUGUUAAGAGAAUUCGUGAACAGGACAGCGACACAGAAUCAGAAGUUGAUGAGAUUGUUGGUAGCAGUACUGUUCCAGUAGCUCUGGCAGACCUGAGUAACCAGGAGGUUGAAGCUACAGACCCUUGGCAUGACUCCUCAAAAUCUGAAGCUGCUCAACUUGACACCACAGUGUUCCUUUCUUUUGAUUGGGAUAAUGAAGAGCCCUAUGAGAAGGCUGUGGAACGACUAAUUGAUGAAGGAAAGCUAAUGGAUGCCCUUGCAAUUUCGGACCGCUUUCUACGUAAUGGAGCUUCUGAUCGGCUCCUUCAACUACUCAUUGAACGUGAAGAAGACAACCAAUCGAUGUCUCCACAACGACAAGGAUAUGGAGGACAUAAUAUAUGGAGCAAUAGUUGGCAGUAUUGCCUAAGGCUGAAAGACAAACAGCUGGCAGCUAGACUUUCCCUAAGAUAUGUGCACAGCUGGGAAUUGGAUGCUGCUUUGGAUGUUCUCACAAUGUGCAGCUGCCAUCUACCUCAGAGUGAUCCAAUCACGACAGAGGUUUUGCAAAUGAAACAAGCUUUGCAGAAGUACAGUCACAUAUUAAGUGCAGAUGAUCACUACACAAGCUGGCAAGAGGUUGAAGCAGAUUGCAAGGAAGAUCCUGAGGGACUGGCGCUUAGGUUAGCUGGGAAAGGAGCUGUUUCUGCUGCAUUAGAAGUCGCAGAAAGUGCAAGACUGUCAGUUGAUUUAAGGAGAGAGUUGCAAGGGCGGCAGCUUGUGAAACUUCUAACUGCAGACCCUCUUAAUGGUGGUGGACCGGCUGAAGCUUCACGGUUUCUCUCCUCAUUACGUGACACAGAUGAUGCUUUGCCUGUGGCUAUGGGUGCAAUGCAGCUGUUGCCCAAUCUGCGUUCAAAGCAACUUCUUGUUCACUUCUUCCUCAAGCGGAGAGAAGGAAAUCUGUCUGAUGUUGAGAUUUCUCGGCUUAAUUCAUGGGCUUUAGGGCUUCGUGUUCUUGCUGUCUUGCCAGUACCAUGGCAACAAAGAUGCUCUUCCCUGCAUGAGUAUCCUCAUUUGAUUUUGGAAGUGCUCUUAAUGAGGAAACAAUUGCAAUCUGCUGCACUGAUAUUAAAGGAAUUUCCUUCUCUACGAGAUAACAAUGUAAUUACUGCAUAUGCAACUAAGGCCAUUGCUGUUAGUAUUAGCUCACCUGCCAGAGAACAUCGGAUAUCUGUCUCAGGAUCCAGGCCAAAGCCAAAAACAAGAUCAGUUGUCCCUCAACGGUCAUCUUUCACGAGCAGUCUGAGUAAUUUACAAAAAGAGGCUCGAAGAGCUUUUUCAUGGGCUCCAAGAAAUACUGUGGAAAAAAAUGCUCCAAAAGAUGUUUAUAGGAAAAGAAAAAGUUCUGGAUUGUCACCAUCUGAUAGAAUCACUUGGGAGGCAAUGACUGGAAUUCAAGAAGAUCGUAUUUCACCAUUUUCUGCUGAUGGCCAAGGGCGGCUUCCUUCUGUUUCCAUUGCAGAGGAAUGGAUGCUCACAGGUGACCCAAAUAAAGAUGAAGGCAUUCGUUCAUCUCACCGAUAUGAAAGUGCCCCUGACAUCACACUGUUCAAGGCACUGCUUUCUCUAUGUUCUGAUGAAUCAUUUUCUGCCAAAAUUGCCCUAGAUUUAUGCAUUAAUCAGAUGAAGAAUGUCUUGAGCUCACAGCAGGUGCCCAACAGUGCAACCAUGGAAACAAUUGGGCGUGCAUAUCAUGCCACAGAAGCAUUUGUGCAGGGUCUACUUUAUGCCAAGUCUCUGCUAAGAAAGCUCACUGGAGGCAUUGAGUUGCUAAGUAAUUCUGAAAGAGGUAGGGAUGCUGAUGACACAUCAUCUGAUGCUGGUAGCUCUAGUGUGGGUAGUCAAUCCACAGAUGAGCUAUCAGAAUAUAUGUCACAGGUGGAUAUUUGGUUGGGACGUGCAGAGCUGCUUCAAAGUCUUUUGGGAUCUGGAAUUGCUGCUUCUCUUGACGACAUUGCUGAUGGAGAGUCAUCUGCCCGGCUUCGUGACAGGUUGAUCAUGGAAGAAAGGUAUAGCAUGGGUGUCUAUACCAGCAAAAAGUGCAAGAUUGAUGUUUUUCCUGUAUGGAAUGCUUGGGGACAUGCGUUAAUUCGUAUGGAGCACUAUGGACAAGCUCGUGUGAAGUUUAAGCAAGCUCUUCAGGUGUACAAGGGUGAUCCUGGGCCUGUGAUUUUGGAGAUUAUUAACACUAUUGAAGGUGGUCCACCGGUGGAUGUUUCAGCAGUUCAUUCAAUGUAUGAUCAUUUCGCUAAAAGUGCUCCGACAAUCUUGGAUGAUUCUCUUUCAGCUGAUUCAUAUCUCAAUAUCCUGUACAUGCCAUCAACAUUUCCACGUUCAGAGAGAUCAAGACGGUCUCAGGAUUCUACAAAUAAUUCUAUAUAUAGUCCAGACUUCUAUGAUGGUCCCCGGAGCAACUUGGAUAAUGCCCGAUACAAUGAAUGUGUUACCUACUUACAAGAGUACGCACGUCAGCAUUUGCUUGGAUUUUUAUUUAGGCAUGGUCACUACCAUGACGCUUGCUUGUUAUUCUUUCCUCUUGAUGCUGUUCCCUUACCCCCACAGCCAUCAAUAAUCAGUGGGGUGACUUCGUCUCCUCAAAGACCAGAUCCUCUAGCUACUGAUUAUGGAACAAUUGAUGAUCUGUGUGACUUCUGCAUUGGUUAUGGUGCUAUGCCUAUUUUGGAGGAAGUCAUUUCAACAAGAAUGUCAUUAGAUAAACCACAAGAUUUAGUGGUGGAUCAAUAUACAGCUGCAGCCCUUGCCCGAAUUUGCAUCUAUUGUGAAACCCACAAGCAUUUUAAUUAUUUAUACAGGUUUCAGGUAAUUAAGAAGGACCAUGUUGCUGCUGGACUCUGUUGUAUUCAACUAUUUGUUAAUUCUUCUUUACAAGAGGAAGCUAUUAAACAUUUGGAACAUGCUAAGAUGCAUUUUGAUGAAGGGUUGUCUGCUAGACACAAAGGUGGUGACUCUACCAGGCUUGUAACAAAAGGUCUAAGAGGGAAAAGUGCCUCAGAGAAGCUCUCUGAGGAAGGUCUUGUCAAAUUUUCUGCACGGGUAUCAAUCCAGGUUGAAGUUGUUAAAUCCUUCAACGAUCCAGAAGGCCCACAGUGGAAAAAUUCCCUUUUUGGGAAUCCAAAUGACUUAGAAACUUUCAGGCGAAGGUGUAAGAUUGCAGAGAUUCUUGUGGAAAAGAAUUUUGAUUUGGCGUUCCAAGUGAUCUAUGAAUUCAAUCUUCCUGCUGUUGACAUAUAUGCUAGUGUUGCUGCAUCUCUUGCUGAAAGAAAAAGAGGCAGCCAGUUGACAGAAUUCUUCAAAAACAUUAAGGGCACAAUAGAUGACGAUGAUUGGGACCAGGUCUUGGGUGCUGCAAUAAAUGUAUAUGCUAACAAGCACAAAGAACGUCCAGACCGUCUAAUAGACAUGUUAACUAGCAGCCACAGGAAGGUUCUUGCUUGUGUGGUCUGUGGUCGUCUAAAAAGUGCAUUUCAAAUUGCUUCUCGGAGUGGAAGUGUGGCUGAUGUUCAAUAUGUUGCUCAUCAGACAUAAGGAUGGCAUGCACCUUAAAGAUAGAAUACAUUUGGGUGUCUGUUUUCUCCCAAGAGAACGGACGUAUGGGAAAUGUUGGUUUUGGAUGUCCAAAACAAACAUCCAAACACACGCUUAGUUCUCAAAGUGAAUGUUGUUCCCACCAUUCACAAUUCUCUAUAGGAUAAGGCACUUCAUGCAAGUGCACUCCCGGUGCUUGAUAUGUGUAAGCAAUGGUUAGCUCAGUAUAUGUAAUAUAUGGCUGGGGGAAUUCACAUGUACUGUGGGCCUGCCUCUGCGCAUCUUCUGGUUAUGCGCUUGAUGUUUGAAGGUUAUAAGUUGAAUAAUAGCUUCUCAUGAGGAAAGCAAAGCGUACCUAAUACGGCUGCAAAAAUCACGGUUUGUCUCCCCCCCCCCCCCCCCCCCCCACAAAACGAAAAAGCAUUGUAUAUCUGGUUGAGGUAUACAGACUUCAAGCUAGAUCCUAAAGACGGAUGUCGCUGCCUGCUAUCAGUCCAUAACCGAGUUGGAGAGCCUAGCAGCGAUUACACUAUCACAAGGUUCAGCCAAAAGUAAUAAUUUGAUGGAGAUUCUGAGACUGGGACCACCUGAUUGUCAAAGACGAUGGUACUUGGAAUUUAUGAGGCACCAUAUGUAAAUUUGCUGCUAUUAGUCACGUGAUUUUAACACACAAUGUUUAUUUUAGGAUUUAAUUUAAAUCAGUUUAUUAGGAUAGCAUAGAAUGACAUCUUGCAAUUCAUAAGACCAAUCCCACUUAGAGGAAUAAGGUUUAUUGUCGUCGUCGUUAUUGUUAGGAUAUUCAGGUAGAUUUUCAGGGAUUGGUGUCACAACUCCCUUGCUGUCGUGUGUGCCUGUGUGUUCAACGCUGCUUCAGUGAAAAGCAAGCAGACAGAUCGAAAUUAAAUUCAUAUGGCAUCAGAAUCAUAAAAUGAUUGCAUUCUGUGGCUAAGUAAUAGCUUGAGUCGAAAAGCAAUUUAAUUAAAAUACAUGGAUUUGGCAGAA